UAUUUUAGAGAGAAAGAACAGAGGGGAGAGGCAAGGGGAGAGGGAGAGAAUCUCCAGCAGACUACCUGCUGAGUGCUGAGUGAAGAGCUCCACACUGGGCCCGAUUCAACAACCUCCAGGUCAUGACCUGAACCAAAAUCAAGAGGUGGACACCUAACUAACUGAGACACCAAGGCACCUCCUAAAUAUUCAAGUUUUAAAUAGACCCAGUGGGGCGCCAGGGUGGCUCAGUGGUUGAGUGUCUGUCUUUGGCUCAGGUGUUGAUCCCAGGGUCCUGGGAUUGAGUGCUGCAUCAAACUCCUUGCGGGGGAGCCUGCUUCUCCCUCUGCCUAUGUCUCUGCCUCUCUCCCUGUAUCUCAUGAAUAAAUAAGUAAAAUAUUUUAAAAAAUAGACCCAGCUUCUGCCUGACAUUAUGUUAUAAUUUUUCACAUUUUAAAUGUUUCACAUUUUAAAUACCCUGUAAUAGAAAUCAAAUUAUUUUUUGACAUUGAUUAGUUACUUGUACAUUUAUAGCUUACAGAAUUUCUUGCAGUCUUUGUAUUUCUAUUUAGGUAUUACAUGUAUUUCUAAGAAUGUUAGGAAUUUUUAGCCAUGUUGAAAUUUUACCUCAAUUAUAUAACUUCCUGCACUUAAAUGAGAUAAUAAAUACAAGCAUUUACAAUAGUGCCUAGUUCAUAGUCAAAACUGUUAGAAUUAUCAGACAUUACUAUUAGAAAGGAUAAUGCCAGGCACACCCAGCUACUCUAGGAGAAUACUAAAAAAGUAGAUGGGGAUUCCUUUUAGGUGAGAAAUUCUCUUAUUUCCAUAAACCUGGUAUCUGGAAGCCCAAAGUCUUCCAUCAGCAAAAGAACAAUUUUGAAAUUAAUGUUGAUGUGGAUUUUUUCUUGCAUCUUACCCUAGAUGAUUUUUGACUUGGCUUUGCUGAAGAGAGACAUUUCAUGGGUACCAUGCCCCAGUACCCACUUUUAAUUCUAAGACACUCUUGCUAGGUCCUUGUGACUUUUCUUUAUUUCCCUUGCUUAAGCCUCUUUGUGAUUGUACAACAUCAAGAAACUGGAUAUAAGUAUAAAAGAAACUUCCUUCCUACAAAAGUAUUAUAAAUUAUUUUUUUCUGAAACUUAUUCUAAUCUUUAAAAAUAUUUUAUUAUUUCAUCAUAAGUCACAUUAAAAAGGUUAUUAUGAAGAGAUAAUUGUAGUCUAAUUUCCUUAAGAAAAAAAGGCAAACAAGAAUUAGUCAAAAACAAUGUUAAUGUACAAAUUUCUCAUACACUAAAAAUGUAGUUCACAUUUUAUCAGUUAUUUGAAUUGAAGCAAAACAAAAAAGCACUGGUAUUCUUUUUUAUUUUUAUUUUCAUUUAUUUAUUUUUAAAAAUAUUUUAUUUAUUUAUUCAUGACAGACACAGAGAGAGAGAGAGGCAGAGACACAGGUAGAGGGAGAAGCAGGCUCCGUGCAGGGAGCCCAAUGUGGGACUUGAUCCCAGGUCUCCAGGAUCACACCCCAGGCUGAAGGUGGUGCUAAACCGCUGGACCACCGGGGCUGCCCUAUUCUUUUUAUAAAAGCAGACAUUUUGUUAUUAUGCAGGUAUGACUUCCAGUAAUAUUUGAUAACCAAAUAUGCAUACUAACAAUAUGUCAACUGUGUGUACUAGAAUUUUUACAGUGAUCCAUUAUAUAUUAUAUUUUACUUAGCAGAGAAUUUUUAGAAAUGAAAUUAUAUAAAAAUAAUUUUAACAUUUCAAUGUAAAUUAUCUGAAACUGACAUUAAUUACGCUUUGAUUACAAUAAAUGCAGGAAAAAUCAGAUAUAUUUGUAAUUUUUUUAAAUUAAAGGAUGUCUUAUAUUUGCAUUAUAAUUUGAAAAUAUUUCAAAGUGUGUUAGAGUGGAAAAUUGCUGAAUUGGGAGAAAAGAUUUGGAAUCUGCCAGUAAGUACAGCUGGAAAACAAAAAACAAAAAUCGAAUGAUCCUGGUUAUUCAGCUCUCCUAAUCAAAUCAUUGUAGCCUCUUUGAACCUCAAUUUUCCUUUAGGUUAACUGAGAAUACUAGUAUCUCAGUAUGCUUCAAUAGAAUAGUAUAAGGCCAAAUUCUAUUAAAUACUUAAAAUAUAUUCAAGAUUUAAACUAUUCACAUAUAAGUUAUCUGAUUGUGUUGAUAGUAAUUAGAAUAAAGUGUUCCUGUUAUGGUCUUAUAUACCAUUUAUCAGAAUAAAAGCACAUAUUUUUUCUUUUAAAAUAAAUGCAUGUAAUCACAGAAUUUGAUUAUAUGUUCAUGAUUAGUGUUUUGAUUAGAAAAAAAGAAUGAAUUGAACUUCACCUUGAUUUACUUUUUAACUAUCUUUAUGGGAUACUGCUUAUAAAAAUGUAAGAAGAAUGUAUAAUCUGGGCUUAAAUUGAACUGAUUAUGUAAAUAUAUUGAAAAUGAGUUGGAGGUAUAAAUCACAGAUGUCGACUUGAUGGAAAGUUUGUUACAAGCAAAAUAUACUGCUCCCAAAUCCCAAUGUGUUAAUUACAAGAAAGCAUCUGGUAUACAAAUUUAUGCUAAGCUAAGAAACAUACAGAUUAAUGUUGAAUACAGUAUGUCAAAUAGAUGUGGUACCAUCUACUUUUACUUGCUGAAUGAUUUAAACCAUAAUUGUUGCAUCAGUGUACAUCAUGAAUAGAUUGUGAUUAUUAAUACUAUUAUAGGUAAGAGAGGUAUUUUUGUGUAUGUUGCACACUUUAAAAAUAUGCAUAAAGUGUUGAGAGUCUAGGAGCAAGAAGUUUUUUAUAUGUGAGUCGUUAUACUCU
rnacentral:lncRNA from 1 species